CCCUCCCCCACCACUAGCUUCUCUGACAAACAGUGCAAAACCCAGUGGCAUUUGAUGGGGGAGAUGUAUGGGUUGGGGUGGGGAGGUGCUGAGUUUAGACCCUCACAUCUGAGCAGAGCCGCCUCUUGCAUUAUCUGCAUUAUCCAUGCAGAAAGGCCUCCGUGAGCACCAGGGAGCGGGUGAACGACAAGCGGUUGUCCAAGGCAACUGCAUGGGCCAUAAAAUAUCCCACCGGGUGCCCUUGGCCAGACUGAGACACGCUUUUUCGUGAUGGGCUCCUCCACCUCCUUCCUUUCAAGAGCCACUUUCAGGACACCUUGCAACAGAGUGAGGACCUACCUGCCGGUGCCCUGUCCUGCCCACCUAGCAGCCAGCAGAAGACAGGUUCAGCAGAUGAAACCUGGAAGUGACCCACAGAGACGGGAUUCCCCUCUUAUCCUGGGAAGCUGUGCAAUGCAGUCUCGCACUCUGUAAAGCAGAGGCAUGUGUUAAAUGCAACCACUGCAACUGCAGAGGCAAAGGGGCUUCCACACAGCUCGAGUCCCAGCUUUGUCUCCUUCGUUUGCCACGGGCCACGCCAGCAGGAAUGCCGUAGGACACGUAGCGUUAUCUAGACGCAGGUGAAUAUAACUACGAGCGUGUGCCGCCGAGUUCAGCGGUGAGACAGGUGAUGGAGGGUAGCCGCUGGGGGUGGGCGGUACGUGUUUCCUGCUCUGUGAUGAAGCAGAAGACCCCAGUCUGUGGGGAGUGUCACUCCUGAGCCGUUCAGUCAUCUAAGGAAGCGAUGCCGUGUCACCCAGCACCCGGGUUUCUUGGUGAAUGAAGCUGAAUGCAGAAGGGCCAUUGGCUUCUGUGAGCUGCAGCUGGCCCAGCCCCUCUGCCAGCGGUGUCCCUCCAGCCGGGGUUACCAGGGGCUGCCCCGGCGGCUGGGUUUGUUGGCA
rnacentral:lncRNA from 1 species